rnacentral:rRNA from 1 species
UACGUAGGGGGCAAGCGUUGUCCGGAUUUAUUGGGCGUAAAGAGCGUGUAGGCUGCCUGGAAGGUCAGCUGUGAAAACUCGAGGCUCAACCUCGAGACGUCGGUUGAAACCACCUGGCUAGAGUCCGGAAGAGGAGAGUGGAAUUCCCGGUGUAGCGGUGAAAUGCGCAGAUAUCGGGAAGAACACCCGUGGCGAAGGCGGCUCUCUGGGACGGUACUGACGCUGAGACGCGAAAGCGUGGGGAGCGAACAGG